CGUCAAAUCAUCAUGCCCUUUAUGUCCUGGGCUACACACGUAAUACAAUGGCGUUUAACAAAGGGAAGCAAUACCGCGAGGUGGAGCAAAUCCCAAAAAGGCGUCUCAGUUCAGAUCGCAGGCUGCAACCCGCCUGCGUGAAGUCGGAAUUGCUAGUAAUCGCGGAUCAGCAUGCCGCGGUGAAUACGUUCCCGGGGCUU
rnacentral:rRNA from 1 species